UACGAAGGGUGCAAGCGUUACUCGGAAUUACUGGGCGUAAAGCGUGCGUAGGCGGUUUGUUAAGUCCGCUGUGAAAGCCCUGGGCUCAACCUGGGAAUUGCAGUGGAUACUGGCGAGCUAGAGUGUGAUAGAGGAUGGUGGAAUUCCCGGUGUAGCGGUGAAAUGCGUAGAGAUCGGGGAGGAACACCAGUGGCGAAGGCGGCCAUCUGGAUCAACACUGACGCUGAGGCACGAAAGCGUGGGGGAGCAAACAGG
rnacentral:rRNA from 1 species